UCCCGGUUGGCCCGGGCAGUCUCGCAUGAAAAAUACAACAUACGACAAGGGUUGCGCUCGUUGCGGGACUUAACCCAACAUCUCACGACACGAGCUGACGACGGCCAUGCAGCAUCUGUCACCUAUCCAGCCGAACUGACCUCCUAGUCUCCUAGGAGUACGAUAGGGAUGUCAAGGGUGGGUAAGGUUCUACGCGUAGCAUCAUAUUAAACCACAUGAUCCACUGCUUGUGCGGAGCCCCGUCAAUUCCUUUGAGUUUUAAGCUUGCGCUCGUACUCCCCAGGCGGCAUAUUUAACGCGUUAGCUUCUCCGCACAGAGGGUCGAUACUCCAUACGAAUAAUAUGCAUCGUUUACGGCGUGGACUAC
rnacentral:misc_RNA from 1 species